GACGAACGCUGGCGGCGUGCUUAACACAUGCAAGUCGAACGGAAAGGCCCUGCUUUUGUGGGGUGCUCGAGUGGCGAACGGGUGAGUAACACGUGAGUAACCUGCCCUUGACUUUGGGAUAACUUCAGGAAACUGGGGCUAAUACCGGAUAGGAGCUCCUGCUGCAUGGUGGGGGUUGGAAAGUUUCGGCGGUCGGGGAUGGACUCGCGGCUUAUCAGCUUGUUGGUGGGGUAGUGGCUUACCAAGGCUUUGACGGGUAGCCGGCCUGAGAGGGUGACCGGCCACAUUGGGACUGAGAUACGGCCCAGACUCCUACGGGAGGCAGCAGUGGGGAAUAUUGCACAGUGAGCGGAAGCCUGAUGCAGCAACGCCGCGUGCGGGAUGACGGCCUUCGGGUUGUAAACCGCUUUCGCCUGUGACGAAGCGUGAGUGACGGUAAUGGGUAAAGAAGCACCGGCUAACUACGUG
rnacentral:rRNA from 1 species